rnacentral:tRNA from 1 species
GGACAGAUAGCUCAGUCGGUAGAGCACAGCCCUGAAAAGGCUGGGGUCGUCGGUUCGAAUCCGACUCUGUCCA